AACGACAUAAAAGUAUAAAACGGUUAGUACAGUAUAUAAAAUACUCCCAAAUAUAUCAUUGUCUCCAAUAUUUUGCUCACCUUUGAAGGAUGGAUCAUAGGCUAACGGUGUCCGCAAAGGGUCGAAUAAAAAGCAAACUUCGGUCAUGAUUUCACCCACUUUUGAUGAAAAAAAUAUCUACUGCAAUGCUGCAUCAGUCGCGUCGAGAAAGCGUCUAUUAAGCAACAACCUGGCAACAAGCGACACAUCUUGUAUAUAUAAUGAAAAAC